UGGGGAAUUUUGGACAAUGGGGGCAACCCUGAUCCAGCAAUGCCGCGUGUGUGAAGAAGGCCUUCGGGUUGUAAAGCACUUUUGUCCGGAAAGAAAACGCCGUGGUUAAUACCCGUGGCGGAUGACGGUACCGGAAGAAUAAGCACCGGCUAACUACGUGCCAGCAGCCGCGGUAAUACGUAGGGUGCAAGCGUUAAUCGGAAUUACUGGGCGUAAAGCGUGCGCAGGCGGUCCGCUAAGACAGAUGUGAAAUCCCCGGGCUUAACCUGGGAACUGCAUUUGUGACUGGCGGGCUAGAGUAUGGCAGAGGGGGGUAGAAUUCCACGUGUAGCAGUGAAAUGCGUAGAGAUGUGGAGGAAUACCGAUGGCGAAGGCAGCCCCCUGGGCCAAUACUGACGCUCAUGCACGAAAGCGUGGGGAGCAAACAGGAUUAGAUACCCUGGUAGUCCACGCCCUAAACGAUGUCAACUAGUUGUCGGGUCUUCAUUGACUUGGUAACGUAGCUAACGCGUGAAGUUGACCGCCUGGGNGUACGGUCGCAAGAUUAAAACUCAAAUGAAUUGACGGGGUC
rnacentral:rRNA from 1 species